UACGGAGGGUGCAAGCGUUCUCCGGAUUCACUGGGUUUAAAGGGUGCGUAGGCGGCUAGGUAAGUCCGUGGUGAAAUCCUGCAGCUUAACUGCAGAACUGCCGUGGAUACUAUCUAUCUUGAAUGUCGUGGAGGUUAGCGGAAUAUGUCAUGUAGCGGUGAAAUGCUUAGAUAUGACAUAGAACACCCAUUGCGAAGGCAGCUAACUACGCGAUAAUUGACGCUGAUGCACGAAAGCGUGGGGAUCAAACAGG
rnacentral:rRNA from 1 species